CAAUAGCGUAUAUUAAAGUUGUUGCAGUUAAAAAGCUCGUAGUUGGAUUUCUGGGAGGGUGCCGCCGUCCGGCGUGUCCGUGUGCAGUGGCGCCCUUCCAUCCUUCUGUUAGCGUCUCUUGGCAUUCAUUUGCUGGUGGCGGGCUCAGAUAUUUUACCUUGAGAAAAUUAGAGUGUUUCAGGCAGGCUAGGCCGGAAUACAUUAGCAUGGAAUAAUGGAAUAGGACUACGGUCUCUUUGUUGGUCUGUGAGACCAGAGUAAUGAUUAAGAGGGACAGUCGGGGACAUUCGUAUUUCAUUGUCAGAGGUGAAAUUCUUGGAUUUAUGAAAGACGAACUUCUGCGAAAGCAUUUGUCAAGGAUGUUUUCAUUAA
rnacentral:rRNA from 1 species